UUGGAGGGCAAGUCUGGUGCCAGCAGCCGCGGUAAUUCCAGCUCCAAUAGCGUAUAUUAAAGUUGUUGUGGUUAAAAAGCUCGUAGUUGAACCUUGGGCCCGGCUGGCCGGUCCGCCUCACCGCGUGUACUGGUCCGGCCGGGCCUUUCCCUCUGUGGAACCCCAUGCCCUUCACUGGGUGUGGCGGGGAAACAGGACUUUUACUUUGAAAAAAUUAGAGUGCUCCAGGCAGGCCUAUGCUCGAAUACAUUAGCAUGGAAUAAUAGAAUAGGACGUGUGGUUCUAUUUUGUUGGUUUCUAGGACCGCCGUAAUGAUUAAUAGGGACAGUCGGGGGCAUCAGUAUUCAAUUGUCAGAGGUGAAAUUCUUGGAUUUAUUGAAGACUAACUACUGCGAAAGCAUUUGCCAAGGAUGUUUUCAUUAAUCAGGAACGAAAGUUAGGGGAUCGAAGACGAUCAGAUACCGUCGUAGUCUUAACCAUAAACUAUGCCGACUAGGGAUCGGAACGAGUAUUAC
rnacentral:rRNA from 1 species